UGGGGAAUUUUGGACAAUGGGGGCAACCCUGAUCCAGCAAUGCCGCGUGUGUGAAGAAGGCCUUCGGGUUGUAAAGCACUUUUGUCCGGAAAGAAAACGUCGUGGUUAAUACCCGUGGCGGCUGACGGUACCGGAAGAAUAAGCACCGGCUAACUACGUGCCAGCAGCCGCGGUAAUACGUAGGGUGCAAGCGUUAAUCGGAAUUACUGGGCGUAAAGCGUGCGCAGGCGGUCCGCUAAGACAGAUGUGAAAUCCCCGGGCUUAACCUGGGAACUGCAUUUGUGACUGGCGGGCUAGAGUAUGGCAGAGGGGGGUUAGAAUUCCACGUGUAGCAGUGAAAUGCGUAGAGAUGUGGAGGAAUACCGAUGGCGAAGGCAGCCCCCUGGGCCAAUACUGACGCUCAUGCACGAAGCGUGGGGAGCAAACAGGAUUAGAUACCCUGGUAGUCCACGCCCUAAACGAUGUCAACUAGUUGUCGGGUCUUCAUUGACUUGGUAACGUAGCUAACGCGUGAAGUUGACCGCCUGGGGAGUACGGUCGCAAGA
rnacentral:rRNA from 1 species